rnacentral:rRNA from 1 species
UUUAGAAACAAUAUCAUUUACCAGACUAAAAAACUAUAAGUUAUAUCCUUUAAACUUAAAAGACUUGGCGGUGCUUUAGUCCAGUUAGAGGAACCUGCCAUAUAAACGAUACACCACGCAGCAUCUUACCUCCUCCCAGAGCUUGUAUACCGUCAUUAUUAGACAACUCCUAUAGGAAUAGUUGUUUCGACAAGCUCCAGCUUCAUAUAUUAGAUCAAGGUGCAGCCAAUGAGUAGGGAUCAGGUGGGUUACAAUAAAAUCUAUUUAUUACGCAUUGAGGGGUUAAACCCUCUCUUAAAGGAGGAUUUAAUAGUAAGGUUUUUUUAAUAAGGCAACCUGAUAGAGGACCUAAAUCGAGUACAUAUCGCCCGUCGCUUCCACCUCAAGUGGAAUAAGUCGUAACAUAG